AAUACAGAGCAUAGGGUGCAGUGAUGCGAAAGCUGAUGAAAGUGCUCAUAAUAAGUCAGGAAUUUCAAUUUAGGGUAACAGAUUAAUGCAUAUUUACGUUGGAAACCAAUGGGUUUAACUUUUAAUCAUAUUGCUACGUUUGCCACGUUUUCUGGGACUGGACGACGGUCGACGUUCUUAAGUACGAAGAA